rnacentral:rRNA from 1 species
GACGAACGCUGGCGGCGUGCUUAACACAUGCAAGUCGAACGGGAUUUAGUAGACAGAGGCUUCGGUGGAAGAUUACUAAUGAGAGUGGCGAACGGGUGAGUAACGCGUGAGCAACCUGCCUAUGACAGUGGGAUAGCCUCGGGAAACCGGGAUUAAUACCGCAUAAAAUCGUAGAAACACAUGUUUUAACGGUCAAAGAUUUAUCGGUCAUAGAUGGGCUCGCGUCUGAUUAGCUAGUUGGUGAGAUAACAGCCACCAAGGCGACGAUCAGUAGCCGGUCUGAGAGGAUGAACGGCCACAUUGGAACUGAGACACGGUCCAAACUCCUACGGGAGGCAGCAGUGGGGAAUAUUGCACAAUGGGGGAAACCCUGAUGCAGCGACGCCGCGUGAACGAAGAAGGUAUUCGUAUCGUAAAGUUCUGUCCUAUGGGAAGAUAAUGACAGUACCAUAGAAGAAAGCUCCGGCUAAAUACGUGCCAGCAGCCGCGGUAAUACGUAUGGAGCGAGCGUUGUCCGGAAUUAUUGGGCGUAAAGGGUACGCAGGCGGUUUAAUAAGUCGAAUGUUAAAGAUCGGGGCUCAACCCCGUAAAGCAUUGGAAACUGAUAAACUUGAGUAGUGGAGAGGAAAGUGGAAUUCCUAGUGUAGUGGUGAAAUACGUAGAUAUUAGGAGGAAUACCAGUAGCGAAGGCGACUUUCUGGACACAAACUGACGCUGAGGUACGAAAGCGUGGGGAGCAAACAGG